GGCUCCGUAGCUCAGGGGAUAGAGCGUCAGUUUCCUAAACUGUGCGUCGCAGGUUCGAAUCCUGCCGGGGCCGC
rnacentral:tRNA from 1 species